rnacentral:rRNA from 1 species
AACGAACGCUGGCGGCAUGCCUAACACAUGCAAGUCGAACGAGACCUUCGGGUCUAGUGGCGCACGGGUGCGUAACGCGUGGGAACCUGCCCUUAGGUUCGGAAUAACUCCCCGAAAGGGGUGCUAAUACCGGAUAAUGUCUUCGGACCAAAGAUUUAUCGCCUUUGGAUGGGCCCGCGUUGGAUUAGCUAGUUGGUAGGGUAAAAGCCUACCAAGGCGACGAUCCAUAGCUGGUCUGAGAGGAUGAUCAGCCACACUGGGACUGGGACACGGCCCAGACUCCUACGGGAGGCAGCAAUGGGGAAUAAUGGACAAUGGGCGAAAGCCUGAUCCAGCAAUGCCGCGUGAGUGAUGAAGGCCUUAGGGUUGUAAAGCUCUUUUACCCGGGAUGAUAAUGACAGUACCGGGAGAAUAAGCUCCGGCUAACUCCGUG